AACGAACGCUGGCGGCAUGCCUAACACAUGCAAGUCGAACGAGACCUUCGGGUCUAGUGGCGCACGGGUGCGUAACGCGUGGGAACCUGCCCUUAGGUUCGGAAUAACUCCCCGAAAGGGGUGCUAAUACCGGAUAAUGUCUUCGGACCAAAGAUUUAUCGCCUUUGGAUGGGCCCGCGUUGGAUUAGCUAGUUGGUAGGGUAAAAGCCUACCAAGGCGACGAUCCAUAGCUGGUCUGAGAGGAUGAUCAGCCACACUGGGACUGAGACACGGCCCAGACUCCUACGGGAGGCAGCAGUGGGGAAUAUUGGACAAUGGGCGAAAGCCUGAUCCAGCAAUGCCGCGUGAGUGAUGAAGGCCUUAGGGUUGUAAAGCUCUUUUACCCGGGAAGAUAAUGACGGUACCGGGAGAAUAAGCUCCGGCUAACUCCGUG
rnacentral:rRNA from 1 species